CCUACGGGUGACAGCAGUGAGGAAUAUUGGUCAAUGGGCUUACGCCUGAACCAGCCAAGUCGCGUGAGGGAAGACUGCCCUAUGGGUUGUAAACCUCUUUUGUCAGGGAGCAACGCCGGCUACGUGUAGCCGGACUGAGAGUACCUGAAGAAAAAGCAUCGGCUAACUCCGUGCCAGCAGCCGCGGUAAUACGGAGGAUGCGAGCGUUAUCCGGAUUUAUUGGGUUUAAAGGGUGCGUAGGCGGAAUGCCAAGUCAGCGGUAAAAUCGCGGGGCUCAACCUCGCUCCGCCGUUGAAACUGCAUCCGUUGAGUGCGCGAGAAGUAUGCGGAAUGCGUGGUGUAGCGGUGAAAUGCAUAGAUAUCACGCAGAACUCCGAUUGCGAAGGCAGCAUACCGGCGCGCAACUGACGCUCAUGCACGAAAGCGUGGGUAUCGAACAGGAUUAGAUACCCGGGUAGUC
rnacentral:rRNA from 1 species